rnacentral:rRNA from 1 species
UACGGAGGGAGCUAGCGUUGUUCGGAAUUACUCGGCGUAAAGCGCGCGUAGGCGGCUUUGUAAGUUAGAGGUGAAAGCCCGGGGCUCAACCCCGGAACUGCCUUUAAAACUGCAUCGCUUGAAUCCGGGAGAGGUGAGUGGAAUUCCGAGUGUAGAGGUGAAAUUCGUAGAUAUUCGGAAGAACACCAGUGGCGAAGGCGGCUCACUGGACCGGCAUUGACGCUGAGGUGCGAAAGCGUGGGGAGCAAACAGG